rnacentral:tRNA from 1 species
GGGAUUUAGCUCAGUGGUAGAGCGCUUGCCUAGCAAGCGCAAGGCCCUGGGUUCGGUCCCCAGUUCCG